AUGAAGAAGCACACCAUCCAAGUGCCGCCGCCGCGGCCGUACGUCGUCCUCGACGCCGGGGAGGACCCGGAGCAAGGCGUCGCCGUGCGCGCGCCGCUCCUGCGCCAGCUCACCUACCGUUCGUCUCCGUCGUUCAAACGAUCCAAGAGCAGCCUCGCCUCCCCCUCCUUCUCGGCGUCUCCUUCCUUCUCCUACUUGGCCUCCCCCAGGCCCAGGGUCCUGCCUUCCCCGAGGAUCAAUGAACACGAGACCCUGCUCGCCAUUCCCUCGCCGACGAUCCAAGAGGAGGCCCCGCUACCGCCGCUUCUCGACGACCACAACAGACCCAGCAGCAAGGCGCCAUUCGUAGUGCUAGGGUUCGAGUGCCUGGAGAGCACGGCGUUCAACGGCAUCUCGACCAACCUGGUGGUGUACCUGGAGACGGUGCUGCACGGCAGCAACCUCGCCAGCGCCUCCAGCGUCACCACCUGGAUCGGCACCAGCUACCUGACGCCCAUCUUCGGCGCCGUCGUCGCCGACACCUACUGGGGCAACUACAACACCAUCCUCGUCUCCCUCGCCUUCUACCUCCUCGGCAUGAUCCUCGUCACCUCCUCCGCCUUCCUCCCGGUCGCCGCGGCCGGCGGCGCCGUCGCCGGCGCGACCGGCUUCUUCAGCGCCAAGACGCUGGCGUUCGUGGGGCUCUACCUGGUGGCCAUCGGGAGCGGCGGGGUGCGGUCCUCGCUGCUGCCCUUCGGCGCCGAGCAGUUCGACGACGCGGUGGUGGCGGACCGGGAGGGCAAGGCGGCCUUCUUCAGCCUCUUCUACCUCUGCGUCGACUUCGGGCCCAUCGUCUCCGGCCUGCUCAUCGUCUACAUCCAGCAGAACGUCAGCUGGGCGCUCGGCUUCGGGAUCGCCACCGCCUGCAUCGCCGCCGCCUACGCCGCAUUCCUGCUCGCCACGCCCAUGUACAAGCGCACCAUGCCCACCGGCUCGCCGCUCAAGAGCCUCUGCCAGGUCGUCGUCGCCGCCUGCAGGAAGCUCAGCCUCCGCCUGCCCGCCGACGCCGGCAUGCUCCACGAGGCCAGCGACAAGGACGACGAGCCCAGGAUCGCGCACACCGCCGAGUUCAGCUUCUUCGACAAGGCGGCCGUCUACUCGGAGCUGGACCUCGCCGAGAGGAUCGACGGCGAGCCGGGCUCGUCCUGGAAGCUCUGCACCGUCACGCAGGUGGAGGAGCUCAAGAUCCUUCUGCGGCUCCUCCCCGUCUGGACGACCAGCAUCAUCGUCUCCGUGGCCUACUCCCAGAUGAACACCACCUUCAUCCAGCAGGGCAGCGCCAUGGACAUCAACGUGCUGUCCCUCUCCAUACCGGCGGCGUCGCUGCUCUCCUUCGAGGUGCUCUGCGUGCUCACCUGGGUGCUCCUCUACGGCUGGGUCAUCGUGCCCGCGCUGAGCAAGUUCUCCAUCUCCUCGGGCGGCGGCGGCGGGGAGCCGUCGCAGCUGCAGCGGAUGGGCGCGGGCCGCGUCCUCAUGGCGAUCUCCAUGGCGAUCGCGGCGGUCGUGGAGACGUCCCGGCUCGGCAGCGCGGCGCGCGGCGAGCAGAUCAGCAUCGCGUGGCAGCUACCGCAGUACUUCUUCCUGGCCGGCGGGGAGGUCUUCUGCUACAUCGCGCAGCUGGAGUUCUUCUACAACGAGGCGCCCGACACCAUGAAGAGCAUGUGCACCUCGCUCGCGCUGCUCACCAUCGCGCUCGGCAGCUACCUGAGCUCCUUCAUAUACGCCGUCAUCGCCCUGCUCACGGCGACGGCCGACAGCCCAGGGUGGAUCGCCGACGACCUCGACCAGGGGCACCUCGACUACUUCUUCUGGAUCAUGGCCGCCAUCUCCAUGAUCAACUUCUUCGUGUACAGCGCCUUUGCCAGGAACUACAAGCUCAAGACGGUCCUCUCGUGA
rnacentral:rRNA from 1 species